ACUUAUUCUUUUAGCGUAUUGGUGUAGUGCUUGUUGGUACGAAUGCAUAGGCGAAAACCGGUUGCGAGUCCGGAUCAUAACGGUAUAGUCACAGGCAUUUGAAGUCGUUUUACUAAACUAUAGAAUUUUAAAUUAAUUUGAGCUCCCACCAUGUGGGAAUGGAAGCCAAUCAGAUUUUUUUUGUUGUUGGUGGGCCAAUUAGGCAUUGGACCAAUAAAAGAGAAGCUCCCAGCAUUGUCUUCCCUUGGUGGACACUCGCGACAAGACCCGAUUUCGAACCAGUGUGAAAUUCCGGCCACUUCCACCAUAUUUUCAGGCGAAAUUCACCCAUCCAUUACCUGUAACCUCUUUCAUAACCUCCCCUCUUCCAUUUCCACCCAAAAUUAGAAGGAAUUUGGUUGAGGUUUGGUGGAAAAACCAACAUGGGUGCCGCGGGAAAGGUUGCUCGAGAUCCACCAAACCUGAAACAAUUUCAUUCAAUUAUCACUACCAAUAGACUUCCCUUGAACUCCUGAACAAAGCCCAAUAGGUUUUAGGGGUGGCGGAACGUUGAGGAGGAAGAAUUGAAGCACAUCCUUUAUAGGGUUUCCAGUGGAUUUUCAUGAAAUUGAGGUGUUUCCCGGCCAAAUUGGCCUUGGCCACAGGUAUGAAAGUUGUUCCACUCACUGAGAUCUCCAUUUUCUGUGAAAUUUGGUAAUUUUUUAAAAUAGUUGGAUUUUCCGGCGAGUCGGGGCAGCCAACCUCCACCCACGGCGGCGCGUGACCAGUGGGCCAAAGGUGUCUUCCUAAGUUCAAUUAGAGGCCCUGAAUUCAUAAUUGAUGUCUGUUUUGACACACCCUGAUCCGGAGGAUCCAGGU
rnacentral:lncRNA from 1 species